rnacentral:rRNA from 1 species
GAUGAACGCUGGCGGCGUGCCUAAUACAUGCAAGUCGAGCGAACAGACGAGGAGCUUGCUCCUCUGACGUUAGCGGCGGACGGGUGAGUAACACGUGGAUAACCUACCUAUAAGACUGGGAUAACUUCGGGAAACCGGAGCUAAUACCGGAUAAUAUAUUGAACCGCAUGGUUCAAUAGUGAAAGACGGUUUUGCUGUCACUUAUAGAUGGAUCCGCGCCGCAUUAGCUAGUUGGUAAGGUAACGGCUUACCAAGGCAACGAUGCGUAGCCGACCUGAGAGGGUGAUCGGCCACACUGGAACUGAGACACGGUCCAGACUCCUACGGGAGGCAGCAGUAGGGAAUCUUCCGCAAUGGGCGGAAGCCUGACGGAGCAACGCCGCGUGAGUGAUGAAGGUCUUCGGAUCGUAAAACUCUGUUAUUAGGGAAGAACAAACGUGUAAGUAACUAUGCACGUCUUGACGGUACCUAAUCAGAAAGCCACGGCUAACUACGUG